CUUUUGCUAACUGUGGGCAUAUGAAAUGAACGUGACAGUCUAUUGCACCGGCAGUAACGAUCAAUCCUUCUCCUGCAAUAACCUCAGUAUUCACCUGACAAGUUCGUUCAAUCGGGUUUAGCCGAAAAAAAAAAAAAGGUAAAUAAAUAAAAGUUGUGAAGGAAGAAAUUUGAAGAACUCACUCACCCCUAUGAUCAUGUCGUGUGAUACCCCAUCCAUAACAUCUGGAUUGCCCGAUUUCCCAAUCGAAGAAAUGUAACCGUUUUUGAUCCCGAUAUCGGCUUUGAAAAUGCCUGUGUAAUCGACGAUCACGGCAUUCGUUAUCACCGUGUCCAAAUAGUCGCUAGCUCGGUACCCGCAAGCUUGUCCCAUUCCAUCCCUUAUG
rnacentral:sRNA from 1 species